rnacentral:rRNA from 1 species
AACGAACGCUGGCGGCAGGCCUAACACAUGCAAGUCGAGCGGGCCCUCCGGGGUCUAGCGGCGGACGGGUGAGUAACGCGUGGGAACGUGCCCUCUUGCCUGGGAUAACUGCUGGAAACGGCAGCUAAGACCGGAUGAGCCCUACGGGGGAAGGAGAGGAUCGGCCCGCGUCGGAUUAGGUAGUUGGUGGGGUAACGGCCUACCAAGCCUUCGAUCCGUACCUGGUUUGAGAGGACGACCAGGCACACUGGGACUGAGACACGGCCCAGACUCCUACGGGAGGCAGCAGUGGGGAAUCAUAGACAAUGGGCGCAAGCCUGAUCUUGCCAUGCCGCGUGGACGAUGAA